rnacentral:rRNA from 1 species
AGUGAACGCUGGCGGUAGGCCUAACACAUGCAAGUCGAACGGCAGCACAGUAAGAGCUUGCUCUUACGGGUGGCGAGUGGCGGACGGGUGAGGAAUACAUCGGAAUCUACUUUUUCGUGGGGGAUAACGUAGGGAAACUUACGCUAAUACCGCAUACGACCUACGGGUGAAAGCAGGGGAUCUUCGGACCUUGCGCGAUUGAAUGAGCCGAUGUCGGAUUAGCUAGUUGGCGGGGUAAAGGCCCACCAAGGCGACGAUCCGUAGCUGGUCUGAGAGGAUGAUCAGCCACACUGGAACUGAGACACGGUCCAGACUCCUACGGGAGGCAGCAGUGGGGAAUAUUGGACAAUGGGCGCAAGCCUGAUCCAGCCAUACCGCGUGGGUGAAGAAGGCCUUCGGGUUGUAAAGCCCUUUUGUUGGGAAAGAAAAGCAGCAGGUUAAUACCCCGCUGUUCUGACGGUACCCAAAGAAUAAGCACCGGCUAACUUCUG